rnacentral:rRNA from 1 species
ACGGGGGGAGCAAGCGUUGUUCGGAUUUACUGGGCGUAAAGGGCGCGUAGGCGGCGUGACAAGUCACUUGUGAAAUCUCCGGGCUUAACCCGGAGCGGCCAAGUGAUACUGUCGUGCUAGAGUGCGGAAGGGGCUACUGGAAUUCUCGGUGUAGCGGUGAAAUGCGUAGAUAUCGAGAGGAACACCGGCGGCGAAGGCGGCUUCCUGGACCGAUACUGACGCUGAGACGCGAAAGCGUGGGGAGCAAACAGGA